UACAUUCUCUUGGUCCCUUCCAGACCUCCGGAGCCACAAGGAACCCACGUGGAGGAGCCCUCUCUCUGGACACACAUAAUCGAAGUGAGGACAGUGUUGAAGAAGCUCCUCAGAAGGAGUUCUAGUUCUCAGACCUUUCACUCUUUUGGUCACUCUUCUCUGGACACAGUCUACUUUGUCCCAGCCUUUCCUGACCUUUGUUGCCCAGAAGUGGACACAGUCUUAUUCCAGGCAAAGUCUGACCAAAGCCAAAGAGAUACCCACCUUCAGAGGGAGACAGAGCUUUGGAGACAGGAGGUGAGUUGUGAGUUGGGUGUCCCUUGGGAACGGUAACCAGCGGAAAAAGAUCGCCACCCUUUCCCCUUGGGUUCCUCCAUCCCGUUUGCUCCCUGUCCCUCAUGGAAGCUGGAUCAAGGCAGCAUUUGAGGGAUAUUGCAAAGGAAAUGCCCUUCUUAGCUGGAGCCUUGAGUUUCCCUUUCUUUCCCUGCAGUUUCUGGGGAGAGAGAAGCCCCUCUGGGAGGUCAGCAGCCUGGAGGUGGAGAGGGAGAGCCUGACCUCCUCUGGGAGUUCAGAGAGAUACCUCCUGUCCAUAUUUUGAGGGAGGGCAGGUUGGGGUUUUGGGUCCCAGAGAUCUCAAGGGGGGUGUCCCAGGACGUUGCCUUUUUCCCAG
rnacentral:lncRNA from 1 species